GAUGAACGCUGGCGGCGUGCCUAAUACAUGCAAGUCGAGCGAACAGACGAGGAGCUUGCUCCUCUGACGUUAGCGGCGGACGGGUGAGUAACACGUGGAUAACCUACCUAUAAGACUGGGAUAACUUCGGGAAACCGGAGCUAAUACCGGAUAAUAUAUUUAACCGCAUGGUUCAAUAGUGAAAGACGGUUUUGCUGUCACUUAUAGAUGGAUCCGCGCCGCAUUAGCUAGUGGGUAAGGUAACGGCUUACCAAGGCAACGAUGCGUAGCCGACCUGAGAGGGUGAUCGGCAACACUGGAACUGAGACACGGUCAAGACUCCUACGGGAGGCAGAAGUAGGGAAUCUUCGGCAAUGGGCGAAAGCCUGACGGAGCAACGCCGCGUGAGUGAUGAAGGUCUUCGGAUCGUAAAACUCUGUUAUUAGGGAAGAACAAAUGUGGAAGUAACUAUGCACGUCUUGACGGUACCUAAUCAGAAAGCCACGGCUAACUACGUG
rnacentral:rRNA from 1 species